rnacentral:rRNA from 1 species
CCAGGCUUGAACAGCGAGUGACCACUUACGAAAGUAGGCUUCCGCAAGGACACUCGUAGAGGUGCUGCAUGGCUGUCGUCAGCUCGUGUCGUGAGAUGUUGGGUUAAGUCCCGCAACGAGCGCAACCCUUGUUUGCUGUUGCCAUCAGGUUAUGCUGGGCACUCUGCAAAGACUGCCGGUGAUAAACCGGAGGAAGGUGGGGAUGACGUCAAGUCAGCAUGGCCUUUAUGUCUGGGGCUACACACGUGCUACAAUGGCCGACACAAACCGUCGCGAGCCCGCGAGGGGGAGCUAAUCGGAGAAAGUCGGUCUCAGUUCGGAUAGCAGGCUGCAACUCGCCUGCUUGAAGUUGGAAUCGCUAGUAAUCGCGGAUCAGCACGCCGCGGUGAAUACGUUCCC